CAGUAGCCGCGGUAAUACGUAGGUGGCAAGCGUUGUCCGGAAUUAUUGGGCGUAAAGGGCUCGCAGGCGGUUUCUUAAGUCUGAUGUGAAAGCCCCCGGCUCAACCGGGGAGGGUCAUUGGAAACUGGGAAACUUGAGUGCAGAAGAGGAGAGUGGAAUUCCACGUGUAGCGGUGAAAUGCGUAGAGAUGUGGAGGAACACCAGUGGCGAAGGCGACUCUCUGGUCUGUAACUGACGCUGGGGAGCGAAAGCGUGGGGAGCGAACAGGAUUAGAUACCCCUGUAGUCCCUGUCUCUUAUAC
rnacentral:rRNA from 1 species